UUCAACAGAAGAAAGUCAAACACAUCUGGGAUGGCAUGAGAGUCAGUGGGAGGUAUUGGACACUUUUGGAAAUCCGCUGAUAAAGCCUCUUUUGAAGCAGUGUCUGCUUCCUCAUUUCCUGGAAUUCCACAGUGUCCAGAAAACCCUCCAUCAUGUUUCAGUCAAACCUUCAGUUAUAGAGUUUACAAGAACAUAAUGGGUCAUCGUGUUCCUGCUCUGUGGGAAAACAGGGAAUUGAGGAAGACUAAUAGCAGAUUAAUAAUAAAACCGA